rnacentral:rRNA from 1 species
CCUACGGGAGGCAGCAGUGAGGAAUAUUGGUCAAUGGGCGAGAGCCUGAACCAGCCAAGUAGCGUGAAUGAUGACUGCCCUAUGGGUUGUAAACUUCUUUUAUAUGGGAAUAAAAUGCUGUACGUAUAGUACUUUGUAUGUACCAUAUGAAUAAGGAUCGGCUAACUCCGUGCCAGCAGCCGCGGUAAUACGGAGGAUCCGAGCGUUAUCCGGAUUUAUUGGGUUUAAAGGGAGCGUAGGUGGAUUGUUAAGUCAGUUGUGAAAGUUUGCGGCUCAACCGUAAAAUUGCAGUUGAAACUGGCAGUCUUGAGUACAGUAGAGGUAGGCGGAAUUCGUGGUGUAGCGGUGAAAUGCUUAGAUAUCACGAAGAACUCCGAUUGCGAAGGCAGCUCACUGGACUGCAACUGACGCUGAGGCUCGAAAGUGUGGGUAUCAAACAGGAUUAGAUACCCCGGUAGUC